UCUUCUGUAGCAAUACAGGAGAUCGGCGCACGGCGCACGGGUGCGUAACACGUGGGUAACCUGCCCUCCAAAGGGGGAUAACCCGCCGAAAGGCGGGCUAAUACCGCAUGACAUUCCGGUGGCUUCGGCCGCUGGAAUCAAAGCCCGCAAGGGCGUUGGAGGAGGGGCCCGCGGCCGAUUAGCUUGUUGGCGAGGUAAUGGCUCACCAAGGCUUUGAUCGGUAGCCGGUCUGAGAGGAUGGCCGGCCACACUGGAACUGAGACACGGUCCAGACUCCUACGGGAGGCAGCAGUGGGGAAUCUUGCGCAAUGGGCGAAAGCCUGACGCAGCGACGCCGCGUGGGGGAUGAAGCUUCUCGGAGUGUAAACCCCUUUCGACCGGGACGAAACGCCCGCAAGGGCUUGACGGUACCGGUAUAAGAAGCCCCGGCUAACUACGUGCCAGCAGCCGCGGUAAGACGUAGGGGGCCAGCGUUGCUCGGAAUUACUGGGCGUAAAGGGUUCGUAGGCGGUGCGGUAAGUCGGAAGUGAAAUCUCUGGGCUUAACUCAGAGGCUGCUUUCGAAACUGCCGUGCUAGAGUGCGGGAGAGGCGAGUGGAAUUACAGGUGUAGCGGUGAAAUGCGUAGAUAUCUGUAGGAACACCCGUGGCGAAGGCGGCUCGCUGGACCGCAACUGACGCUGAGGAACGAAAGCUAGGGGAGCAAACAGGAUUAGAUACCCUGGUAGUCCUAGCCCUAAACCAUCAGGACUUGGGGUGGCCCGCGUUGGCGGGUCGUCCCGGAGCUAACGCGUUAAGUCCUGCGCCUGGGGAGUACGGUCGCAAGGCUG
rnacentral:rRNA from 1 species